rnacentral:rRNA from 1 species
AAAGUCCCCUUCGGGGGACAAGUAGAGUGGCGCACGGGUGAGUAACACGUAGGUAAUCUACCUUCGGAUGGGGAAUAACAAUCGGAAACGGUUGCUAAAACCGCAUAAUGCAGCGGCACCUAAUGGUGACAGUUGUUAAAGCGGGGGAUCGAAAGACCUCGCGUCUGAAGAGGAGCCUGCGGCGGAUUAGCUAGUUGGUAAGGUAACGGCUUACCAAGGCUACGAUCCGUAGCCGGCCUGAGAGGGCGGUCGGCCACACUGACACUGACAUACGGGUCAGACUCCUACGGGAGGCAGCAGUCGGGAAUUUUGGGCAAUGGGCGAAAGCCUGACCCAGCAACGCCGCGUGAAGGAUGAAAUCCCUCGGGAUGUAAACUUCGCAAGAACGGGAAGAAUAAGUAGGGGACAAUACCCCCUAUGAUGACGGUACCGUUUGUAAGCUCCGGCUAACUCCGUGCCAGCAGCCGCGGUAAUACGGGGGGAGCAAGCGUUGUUCGGAUUUACUGGGCGUAAAGGGCGCGUAGGCGGCCAGCACAAGUCAGUUGUGAAAUCUCCGAGCUUAACUCGGAAAGGUCAACUGAUACUGUGCGGCUAGAGUGCAGAAGGGGCAACUGGAAUUCUCGGUGUAGCGGUGAAAUGCGUAGAUAUCGAGAGGAACACCUGCGGCGAAGGCGGGUUGCUGGGCUGACACUGACGCUGAGGCGCGAAAGCUAGGGGAGCGAACGGGAUUAGAUACCCCGGUAGUCCUAGCCUUAAACGAUGAAUGCUUGGUGUCUGGGGUUAUAAAGUCCCUGGGUGCCGUCGCUAACGCUUUAAGCA